GCAAGCGUUGGUAGGUCGCGGUACUGGCAUCGGCGCUGUAAAUGCCGGCCUGCAGGUCGUUCGUGCCGGUUUGCUCGCC
rnacentral:tRNA from 1 species